UUUGGUUUCAAAGAAAAAUCUAGGAAAAGAUACUGAGGAGUCUGUGAAUAGAUGGAGUGGAGUGAGCUAGUAGAUGGUGAAGGCGCUGCUCACGAAAGAAACAGAGGUGGUGCCCAGGUCUUCAGAAUCUGAGUGACGACACUGGACACAAACUACUCACUGACUGGGGAGCAGCUGAGAAGCCUAGCAAAUCCUGGCUUAUCCCCCGAGAAUGUUCCAGCAGGUAAGAGAUUCUAAGCUUGGGGGACGGGGAGCCUACAGGAGAAACCACAGGUUCAAAAGUAGGCAUUAUAUGGUGAGCACAUUUUGAAGUGUCCACAGGAAAAGAAUUACUGGAUGAAGAUAAUGAAUAUGGGAAAUUUUAGAACAAGAUGGGUGAAUCAUCAAUUAGAAUUUUACUUCAUUUCCUAGGUAAAACACAGUAACUUUGGAAUAAAGUCAUUGUCAUGCAAAUACCAGGAGGUGAUGGUGUUACUAUUCAUAAUCACAAUGGCUUAGUAAUAAUGAUGAUGAUCAUUCUAAUUGUCCCACCAGAUACAAGACUGUCAUAAAAUCGGUAAUGUGGACAGAAAUACUGAAAGUUGUGUAAAAGAUUAAAUGAGGUUUGUGCUUUCUUUUACGUUUCACGUUCUGACAAGCUGUGUGUCUUGUUUCCAUAAUCCCACAUUACACAAAUAAGAAAGACAUAAUGGUUCAUAACUGGAAAGUUGAUUGAUAUCAUAAUUAAAAUUAUUAAAAUAACUGAUGUUUUAGUAGAUAAGAGUUCAAAAGGAGAUAAUCAAUGUCAAGAGUGCUACGCUUCAAAGUUCUGUUCAUAAAUGCAAAUUUACAUGGGGAAGUUCCAUGAGAAAUUAUUCCUUGAAGGAAUUGAGAUAAUUAAAACCUCGUAAGAAUAAAAAAGAAUGCAUAGGCCAUUGACCUGAGCUAUUGAAAACAAUGUGACUGGCCAGAGCAGUACUUUCCAACCAUUUUUGUCAAUGUUGCUUCAUAUCUGGAGGGGGUACAUUUUUCUGCUUUCUUACCAAUGUCUUCAAUUAAGCAUCAUUCAUCCUUAGUCAUCUCUCUUCCUACUAUUACUUGAUAACAAAUUUUGACCUCCACAAGAAAGCAGGUAUUGUUUUGAAAGUUGUAACAUG
rnacentral:lncRNA from 1 species